CUUGGUCAUUUAGAGGAAGUAAAAGUCGUAACAAGGUCUCCGUUGGUGAACCAGCGGAGGGAUCAUUACCGAGUUUACAACUCCCAAACCCCUGUGAACAUACCUUAUGUUGCCUCGGCGGAUCAGCCCGCGCCCCGUAAAAAGGGACGGCCCGCCGCAGGAACCCUAAACUCUGUUUUUAGUGGAACUUCUGAGUAUAAAAAACAAAUAAAUCAAAACUUUCAACAACGGAUCUCUUGGUUCUGGCAUCGAUGAAGAACGCAGCAAAAUGCGAUAAGUAAUGUGAAUUGCAGAAUUCAGUGAAUCAUCGAAUCUUUGAACGCACAUUGCGCCCGCCAGUAUUCUGGCGGGCAUGCCUGUUCGAGCGUCAUUUCAACCCUCAAGCCCAGCUUGGUGUUGGGAGCUGCAGUCCUGCUGCACUCCCCAAAUACAUUGGCGGUCACGUCGAGCUUCCAUAGCGUAGUAAUUUACAUAUCGUUACUGGUAAUCGUCGCGGCCACGCCGUUAAACCCCAACUUCUGAAUGUUGACCUCGGAUCAGGUAGGAAUACCCGCUGAACUUAAGCAUAUCAAAA
rnacentral:sRNA from 1 species